AUUUCCAUUUUUCUGGGCUCGCGGAAGCGACAGUAGUUUUCUUUAAGAAAACCUACCGGCAUCUGAUUUUCUCUUCUUUCCUCCCAAAAAGAAGCCGUAGCCGCCCCACGACCUCGAAGCCUCUUCAAAGUAGGGGAAAAAAAUUCAUCUUAUCUGCACUAAAUCACCUCCUUCCGCCUCUCUUUGACACCGGCGACAGAAGUUGAGGAAGGCGAAGCACUCGCUCAAACAAGAAAAAGACUAAUCAAGAGUUACUUCUUAGGAAUCAAUUUAUGUUUAAAGGGAAAAAUGUUGAAAGAGGAGAAGCUUUAAGAAACUAAUUUUUCAGUUCAAUAUUAUGAUUAUUACCACUUUGACUAAUUAUAGACAUUCAUCCCAGAAGAACGACAGGAGUGUUCGGGCAACCAAUUUGCUUAACUAUCAUGGAAGCCAAAUUUUUUCGCUUUCUUAAAAUAGUGGGUGUCGGCUACAAAGCCAGAGCUGAAUCAGAAGGGCGUCUCUUAUAUCUCAAAUUGGGAUACAGUCAUGAGGUUGAACUAACAGUUCCUCCUGCUGUCCGUGUUUUCUGCUUCAAGAACAAUGUAGUUUGUUGCACUGGUAUCGACAAACAGAGGGUGCACCAGUUUGCUGCUUCUGUUCGUAGUUGCAAACCUCCUGAAGUUUACAAAGGUAAGGG